rnacentral:snRNA from 8 species
AUACUUACCUGGCAAGGGCGAUACCGUGAUCAAGAAGGCGGUUCACCCAGGGCGAGGAUCAGCCAUUGCACUCCGGCUGCGCUGACCCCUGCGAAUUUCCCAAAUGCUGGACAUCUCGAAUGCAUAAUUCAUGGUAGUGGGGGAACGCCCUCGCGCUCUCCCCUG